CCUGGAGGCCCUGCUGGUCCGGUGUCUCCUCGGGGGCCAAUGGGUCCCUGAACAACAAACACAUCACAACACGUUUAUAAACACACUUCAAUGUUGGGACACAACCACCAAACCAUCCACUCACAGUCAGACUGACCUGGUUUCCUUUGGAGCCUUUCGUACCCACAAUCCCCUGAGAGACGGCGACGGAGACGGAGACGGAGACAGCAUGCACUUGGUGUCAACAAACUGAAGGCCCUGUGGGGGCGUGGCCUCACACCUCGUCUCCCUUUGGACCAGGCAGUCCUUGGAUUCCUGGAAGUCCUCUGUCCCCCUUCUCUCCAAUAUCUCCUGGUGGUCCGAUGAGGCCGAUGAGUCCUCCGUGACCCUGGACACACAUCCAAGCAGUCCUGGUGGACCCUGAUUGGAUAAAAAAGCCUUAGGGUUGAAAACCAGUCUGGUCGUACUGCAUUAACGAGGGUCUUAAAGGUCAACUAAAGGUCAACCUCCUCUGUUGCCAUGGUAACAGUCAUGGAUGGACGGAUGGAUGGAUGUUGGAUGGAUGGAUGAUGGAUGGACGGAUGGAUGGAUGAUGGGUGGAUGGAUGAUGGAUUGUGUGGUGGAUGGAUGAUGGAUGAUGGAUGAUGGAUGUAUGUAUAGAUUGAUGGGUGUUUAUUUCAUCCCCCCCUUCUUUCCUCUUUGCUGCAGGUGGAUCCUGUAGACAGGUCACAUGACCUGCCCCCCCCAGGUGGAUCCUGUAGACAGGUCACAUGACCUGCCCCCCCC